rnacentral:tRNA from 1 species
GAUAGCUCAGUUGGUAGAGCACCUGACUGUUAAUCAGGUUGUCGCUGGUUCGAGCCCAGCU